GCAAGGCAGAGAAAGUCAGAAUCAGGGGGUGGCGUAACGCCUGAUCGGCUCUGAGCUCAUUAACCCGGGCCUUGACAGAACUGAUGUUAGAGGUCAGCUGUCCGCGGUUCGAUUCUCCUGGGGAGGGGGUGUGCAGAUGCCAUCAACACCGGUUCCCGUGUCUGCUUGAUCUCCUAAUUCUGCUUCAUUUAAACUUCAUCAACUGUUCCACUGGACCGGAAGCAGAGAAGAAUGAAAACAGCUUGCGUGGAAACAGCUCCAUGUACCAGUCCCCAGGAGGCCCGGUCUCUGAGUGGGUGAGCGUCAACCUUCCACCCGUCCAGACAUAAGGACGCGCGGCAUGUGUCUGCUGACGGACGCGGAGACCAGGUGGCCGGGAGGUCAAGUGUUUGAG